rnacentral:rRNA from 1 species
GACGAACGCUGGCGGCGUGCUUAACACAUGCAAGUCGAACGGAAAGGCCCUGAGAUUGUGGGGUGAUCGAGUGGCGAACGGGUGAGUAACACGAGAGUAACCUGCCCUUGACUUUGGGAGAACUUCAGGAAACUGGGGCUAAUACCGGAUAGGAGAUCAUGCUGCAUGGUGGGGGGUGGAAAGUUUCGGCGGUUGGGGAUGGACUCGCGGCUUAUCAGCUUGUUGGUGGGGUAGUGGAAUACCAAGGAUGUGACUGAUAGCCGGCCUUGGAGGGUGACCGGCCUCAUUGCGACUGCGAUACGGCCCAGACUCCUACGGGGGGCAGCAGUGGGGAAUAUUGCACAGUGGGCGCACGCCUGAUGCAGCGACGCCGCGUGCGGGAUGACGUCCUUCUGGUUGUAAACCGCUUUCGCCUGUGACGAAGCGUUAGUGACGGUAAUGGGUGAAUAAGCACCGGCUAACUACGUG